UACGGAGGGAGCUAGCGUUAUUCGGAAUUACUGGGCGUAAAGCGCACGUAGGCGGCUUUGUAAGUUAGAGGUGAAAGCCUGGAGCUCAACUCCAGAAUUGCCUUUAAGACUGCAUCGCUUGAAUCCAGGAGAGGUGAGUGGAAUUCCGAGUGUAGAGGUGAAAUUCGUAGAUAUUACGGAAGAACACCAGUGGCGAAGGCGGCUCACUGGACUGGUAUUGACGCUGAGGUGCGAAAGCGUGGGGAGCAAACA
rnacentral:rRNA from 1 species